rnacentral:rRNA from 1 species
GUGGGGAAUAUUGGACAAUGGACGCAAGUCUGAUCCAGCCAUGCCGCGUGAAGGAUUAAGGUCCUCUGGAUUGUAAACUUCUUUUAUAAGGGACGAAAAAAGGCUUUUCUAAGUCGUCUGACGGUACCUUAUAAAUAAGUACCGGCUAACUCCGUGCCAGCAGCCGCGGUAAUACGGAGGGUGCAAGCGUUAUCCGGAUUCACUGGGUUUAAAGGGUGCGUAGGCGGGCAGGUAAGUCAGUGGUGAAAUCCUAGAGCUUAACUCUAGAACUGCCAUUGAUACUAUCUGUCUUGAAUAUUGUGGAGGUAAGCGGAAUAUGUCAUGUAGCGGUGAAAUGCUUAGAUAUGACAUAGAACACCUAUUGCGAAGGCAGCUUACUACGCAUAUAUUGACGCUGAGGCACGAAAGCGUGGGGAUCAAACAGGAUUAGAAACCCUGGUAGUCC